CUACGUGCCAGCAGCCGCGGUAAUACGUAGGGUGCAAGCGUUAAUCGGAAUUACUGGGCGUAAAGAGUGCGCAGGCGGUUUUGCAAGACCGAUGUGAAAUCCCCGGGCUUAACCUGGGAACUGCAUUGGUGACUGCAAGGCUAGAGUGUGUCAGAGGGAUGUGGAAUUCCGCAUGUAGCAGUGAAAUGCGUAGAUAUGCGGAGGAACACCGAUGGCGAAGGCAGCCUCCUGGGAUAACACUGACGUUCAUGCCCGAAAGCGUGGGUAGCAAACAGGAUUAGAUACCCUGGUAGUCCACGCCCUAAACGAUGUCGAUUAGCUGUUGGGCAGCUUGACUGCUUAGUAGCGAAGCUAACGCGUGAAAUCGACCGCCUGGGGAGUACGGUCGCAAGAUUAAAACUCAAAGGAAUUGACGGGGACCCGCACAAGCGGUGGAUGAUGUGGAUUAAUUCGAUGCAACGCGAAGAACCUUACCUGGUCUUGACAU
rnacentral:rRNA from 1 species